UUGGUUCGAUUGUCGUUGGAGCAUGGAUGCAUCUGAUUUCAAACAAGAUAUUUGGUACAAUGCAAGCGUUGAAGUAAUGUUGACAAGCAACGCCUCUGGAUGGAAUGUUCCACUACACCUUGAAAUCGAGUUGCCAGAUGGGAGUAAGCAAGAGUCUCAAAUAGUAUUGGCAGGUAGACAACCAAAUGUGUGGUUAAAGAUUCCAAUAGGUAAAUUCAUACUAAGGGGUUCUCUGACUAGCGGAACAAUCCGAUUCGGCUUGUACAACCAUGAAGGGAAUUGGAAAAGAGGCUUGAACAUAAGAGCCCUUGCCAUUCAAGCAUAAAAAUGAGUUUGAAAUGGUAUGUUCAAUAAUGAAUAUAAAGUAAUAGAAUAAAACCCUAAAUAAUAAGAUCUUUUGCUCUGUGACAAAAACUUUUAAGUUUAAAUGUGUUAUAUUUCAGUUAUGCAAGUAACUGUUGAAUAUAAUGUAACACAACAUAAAUAAAUAAAUAAUAUGACAUGUUGCAUAGUAGUAAUAAGGCCAGUUUAAACACUUUAGUAAGUUUUUCAAUAAAAGUAUGUACUGUGAGUUUGUUCAAAUUAAAUCUAAGCACUCAUUUUGUGAUUGCUGAUCAUUUUGUACAUACAUUUUGAAAAUUAAAAAGAUAAAAUGAAAACAAGUUAACACAAUCAUAAUUUUGAUAUUAUUAAUUUGUUAAUUAAAUUAGGAAUUAAAUGAACUAAAAGUAACAUGAGAAGACAAAAUUAACACUUGUGUAAAUGAUGUUGCAAGAGUUACUUUUACGUUGUGAUGGAUUAGUUUUACCACCUACUGAUUUUCAAUUAAAUAGUCACAAGACCUAUUUUAGGGUUCUCGUUUAAUCAAGUAUAAUAUGUAAUAUGUUGAUGUAAACCACAACUUCUUGAUAGUAAGAGUAGCGAAGUCCGAUUUAACCACACAAGAAGCUUCGUGUUUAAUAAUACUCUAAGGUAAAUUUUUCUAAGGAAAAGAGUAUAUAGUGGGAGAGUGGUUUAUAGGUAAAGUAAAUGACAUAAAUAAAGUGUGGGAAUGUAAGAUAAUAGUGAGAAAUAAUAGGGUUACCUAUAGAUUACCUUUCAAUUGAAAGAUUCUUGAGAUAGAUCAUACAGAUUGAUUCGUCAAUUUAUUAUAUAAGAAUAGGGUUAUAUAAUCUAAGUACAACAAUAGCAAAAACAAUCUAGAAACAUCGGACAAACUCUCUUAUCGUAAUGAAUCAAUCAUAGACAACAAAAUCAAUUUUAAACUAAUCAACACUACUACAAAAAAGGGUUUACUUGACACUUUUCAAUGGGUUUAAUAAUCCAGUUUUAAGUAUAAGGGAGGUUCAGACAAUUUUUAAGCGUCAAGUACAAUUAUACUUGACAGGUGAAAAACAUCAAGUAUAUUACUUGACGCUUUCUACUUGUCAAGUUAUCCAGUGUCAAGAAUAAAUGGGUUUUUUGUUUGAAAGUUUUUAUGCGUCAAGUAAAAUUGUACUUUACAGUUUAUGAAGGUCAAGUAUACAAGAUUAGUUGACAGUUUCUAUAUGUCAAGGAUUUGAUUACUCUUGACACUCUUUGCAUGUCAAGGUUUUUUUUUUUCAAAUGAAAAAUUAUAUAUUUUAAAAUUAUAAGAUAAUGCUUUUUACCAAAAAUUAUAUAUUUUAAAGUAUCGACAUAUAUAAUUUAUCAUGCACCUAUUUUGAAGUUCAACAAUGACGAACAUAAGUAAAGCAAGAGAGUACUGAAAUGUGUUAAAUUACACAUUAAUUGAACAAUUGAAUCAACUCAAAUUUUCCAUCAAAUAAGUAAUAGUAUCUUAACAAGUUGCAUAUAUAUAUGUGUGUGUGUAUAUAUAUAUAUAUCAAUGAACCAUACAUGUAGUUAGUCCAAAUUUAUAACAAAAGCCUAAACUUUCUAUCCAUGUGUAGCUUAUAGGUAUAGCCUAAACUUUCCAUCUAUGUAUAUAUAGCCUAAACUUUCCACCUAUGUAUAGCCUAAAGGGUACCAUACCAAAACUUGUCGUUCUAGUAUCAACAAAAUAUCAACACUAAUUCACCUAUAUCCAAUAUGAACAAAAUAUCACACUUAUAUUCAGUAUGAACAAAAUAUCAACAAAAUCUGUUUAUCUAACCAAAAAUAUAAUCACCAUAAUCAAAUGUGGCCACCCAAAAAAAUUAGCAAGCUUCAUUCGCACUUCAUCCAACUCGAAUUGACUAUAUGAGCUCCUUAUAUCAAUCUGAUAUGAAACCUAAAAUUUUGAAGUUAGUACUUUGAUUACUUAAAUUGUAUAAAAUAAUUCAAACAAUCAUUUAAACACAACAUACCGAAUCUAUGACUACUAUGUUUCCAUUAGUGAUUAUAUCUCUCAUGUAUCUCAUCAUAUAGUACCCGCAUUCAAAUAUUUCAACUUGCAAAGGACACUGUAUAUAUAUAAAUUACCAAAAUACUUCAUAGUGCAAAUACCCCAUAUAACGUAUACUUUUAAUUAACGAAUAAAUAUGUUUACACUUACCUUCCCUAUAUUUUCCAUAUUGGUUGUUUUCGACUUGUUUGAAUAUUUUUCUGAGAUUGAAAGAUAGUAAUAGUCCUAUUUCCAAGAAACAACUACACGUUACCCACAAAGUGAACUUUAAAACGAAAAACAUCAUACAUGAAAGAAGCUUAUUUAUGUGUCAAUUACAUAUCUAAUAUCUACUCUUGAUGUUGUUCAAAGUGAGUCAAUAUGGUAGACUUCAUCGUAUGCGUUAAUAGCCAGAAGUGUCAUUUCCCACUACAUAGAAAUAAUACAAGUAGAUUGUUUUCACUGUCAGUGCAAUACAUUUUAAUGACAAUAAGCAUUAAUUAUAGUCUACAAAUCAGUUUUUCUACGCUAAAUCAAAAGUAGACGACAACAAUAAAAGUUGAACCUCCCCCUCCCCCCACCCCCCAUGAUUGCCUUAACAUAAUCCAAAGCCCUAAGCUUGAUCAAUUCAAAGAAGCAAAUCACACAAUAUGAUCAAAAGCUAAAUGGAGAGCACAUAAAAGUAUGAGUUAUGUGUUUCAAUAUCAAUGGAAGAAGAAGCAAUAUAUUUUAAUGAAUCAAUUAGUAUAAUAUUACUUACUCUAGAUUAAAAGGAGCCCGAACGAUACAAAGAACUUACUCAUGUUGACAUCUUUGAAUCUACAAUCCACCGAAUUUGGGGACACCACCCGUCAGAGACCUUCCUAUCCUAUGGGACGAGAUUGAUUUGUGGGAACUAAUUGAGAUGGAAAAAGUUUUAGAGAGAAACUAUUUUGCAGAAAAAGAAAAUCAUUAGUUUAAUUGAUUGGUUAAGAAAAACUGUUUUUCUUUGCAUAUUUAUAAAUCUUUUUUCUUUGUGGAGUAGGAGAGAACCAUGAGACUCUGUUAAUUUUAAAAUAUGAGAAUUAUGAGAUUCUGUUAAUUUUAAAAUAUUAAAUUAAUAGAAAUUUCAAAUCAUCUAAUUAAUUAACAAUUAAAUCAUAUUUCAUUUAAAUCUUAUUUAAUGAAUAUAUCUAUGAUAUCUUAUUAAUUUAAUUAAAUAAAACUAAACUAUUGAUUAAUUUUCUGAUUAAUUAAUAGUUAAAUUAAAUAUCUUAUAUUUAACUUAAAUUAAAUUUGAAUCAUAUUCAAAUAUAAAUUUCUCUCGUAACCAAUAAUUUUAAUAGGAAUUCAAUUGACAUUAAAUUAAUAUUUGAACUCAUUCAAAUAUUUUAUCUCUCAUAAAUUAAUUUUGAAUCAGUACGAAGAAGGUUGAACUCGAACGGAGAGAAGAGAUUGCGAGGUGGUGACAGUUAGCUUGGAUAUGGGGAGAGAAGAUGAAAAAAAAAAAAAGAUGUGGAAUGGCAUGCGUGGGUUUAUUUUUUUAAAUAUAAUGAUGAUGAUAAUAAUAAUAGAAUCUAUUACUAUUAUUAUUACUACAUAAACAAUAACUAUUAUUAUUUUACGUGUAUUUAUCAAGUUUCUAUUUCUUUCUUUUCCACAACUUCUAUCAAAACAACACCCAACAAUUUAAAAUCUUUAAAUAAAAUGGCAAUUUGUUUAAAAUAAAAUACCUCAAAGUCAAGGAUAUUACAUUUAAAAAUUGAGCACCCUUAUCUGGAUGACAUGAGUUUCAAAAAGAAUAUAAACUCCAAAUCAAUAAACUCUUUGAUAUGGAUGGUUCAUACUCAGUAGUAACUUCUUUUUAAUUUCUACAGAUUUUAUCCCUAACCUAUACUCCAAAUAUAUUCUCGAUAAAUUAAAGAGAAUAGAUUCUCAUGAAUUUUAAUGCUUUCAUGCUUUGAUAUUGAAAAUUAAAUAAUAUAACGAAAAAGUGAGUGAGAAAAAUGGAAAAGGAGAUGAAAAGAACGGGUUAUUGACUUUUCAAAAAUAAUAUUUAUUAGAGUCAUAUAGAAAUUAAACCACGUUAGAUUGUACUUUGGAAGGCUAUUAAUAAACCUAUCAAUUAUAAAUAAUAAUAACAUUAAUAUAUAUAAGAAUUAGGAAAAUUGUAAAAAAAAAAAAAGUAAAUUUGACAAAAUAUUUACAACAUAUAACCAAAUUUUGAGAUUCUAUCAAUAACAGAUAUUGAUAGCCACUGAUAUGCUUCUAUCAAAGACAUUGAUAGACGGUGAUAGAAAUCUACCCGUUUCUAUCAUUACUAGAAUAAUUUUUUUUUUGUUAUAACUUGUAAUUAUUUUAAUUUAUUUUGUUAUUUUAAAAAAUGCUUCUAAAUAUUAUUUAUUUAUUCGAUGAUACAAAUGCCCAUAAACUUUACAUAAUUACACUCUUAUAAAAAUGGUCUUUUAACAAAUAAUUUUUAUAUCCAUAUAUGUAUAAUUUAGAGACAUUUUUAAAAAUAGCAAAAUAAAUUAAUAUAUUUACAAGCUAUAACAAAAUUUUAGAUUUUAUCAAUGAUAGUCUUCUAUCACUAUAACAUAUCAAUGACUAUCGGUGAUAGAAUUUAUUAGAGAUCGUAAAUAUUUUAUAAAUUUUGCUACUUUUAAAAAUAUUCCAACAAUUUAAUUAAUUACAGGGAAGAUAAGAACAAUUUUAGUUGAAUAAUCAAUUAUCAAGAAGAAAAUAUAAAAGUUAACUAACUUAUAUUAAAAAAUAAUUUAAAGUAACUAAAUGAAAAAGAGUAUAUAAAAAUAAAAGAUGUUGAAAAAAUGGAAUAAACAAAAGAGAGAAAGGAUAAGGGAUAGGAAAAAGUGGUUGCAUUUGGAAAGGUCUAAAAUACCCUCAUAGAUGGAUAUAAAAGAACAAAGAUAUCCUCCAUACUUGAAACCAAUCAAGGACCUUUAUACAACAUUUUCUCAUUCUCAUCCUUACUUUUAUAUCUCUCAAAUACCAUUUUAAUGGCAGGCCAAAGCACACAUUAUUUGGCAUUUCCAAGAGCUUCCACAAUAACAUGGGGUGAUGACACUCGAUAUUGGAGUUGGGCCACCGUGGAUUUUUGCAGGUAUAAUCUUCAACUCAAAUUUUAUUUGUUCAUUUAUUCAUAUCUCAUACAUUUUCAUCCAUUUCUUUUGUCUUCAUUCAUAAAAAUAUAAACUAGUUAUUAGAUUCUACUUUCAUGAAUAUAGGUUAUGUUCCAAUUAUAUGUUAUUUAUUAUUGUUCUCUCUCACCAUGGUAUUUAAAACCUUGCAGCUACGCAAUUGAAGAAGCCCGACUUUUACAAGUAUCUUGGCUCGAUUGUCGUUGGAGCAUGGAUGCAUCUGAUUUCAAACAAGAUAUUUGGUACAAUGCAAGCGUUGAAGUAAUGUUGACAAGCAACGCCUCUGGAUGGAAUGUUCCACUACACCUUGAAAUCGAGUUGCCAGAUGGGAGUAAGCAAGAGUCUCAAAUAGUAUUGGCAGGCAGACAACCAAAUGUGUGGUUCAAGAUUCCAAUCGGUAAAUUCAUACUAGGGGGUUCUCUGACUAGCGGAACAAUCCGAUUCGGCUUCUACAACCAUGAAGGGAAUUGGAAAAGAGGCUUGAACAUAAGAGCCCUUGCCAUUCAAGCAUAAAAAUGAGUUUGAAAUGAUAUGUUCAAGAAUGAAUAUAAAUUAAUAUAAUAAAACCCUAAAUAAUAAGACAUUUUGCUAUGUUACAAAAACUUUUAAGUUUAAAUGUGUUAUAUUUCAGUUAUGCAAGUAAAUGUUGAAUAUAAUGUAACACAACAUAAAUAAAUAAAUAAUAUGACCUGUUGCAUAGUAGCAAUAUAAAAUGAAAACAAGUUAAAACAAUCAUAAUUUUGAUCUUAUUAAUUUGUUAAUUAAAGGAAAUGAAUGAAGAAAGAGUAACAUGAGAAGUCAAAAUUAACACUUUUGUAAAUGAUGUUGCAAGAGUUGCUUUUAUGUUGUGAUGGAUUGGUUUUUCCACCUACUGUUUUCAAUUAUAUUGUGACAAGAACUUUUUUAGGGCCCCUUAGUAAUCAAGUACAAUCGGGAAUAUGUUGAUGUAAACCACCACUUCUUCUUGAUAGUAUGAGUAGCGAGGUUAGAUUUAACCACAUAAGAAGCUUCCUGUUUAAUAUUGCCUGAGGUAAAUUUUUCUAAGGAAUAAAGUAUAUUGUAAAGCUAAGAAACUUGGAUCUUCGCAAGAGCUUGAAAGGAUUAUUUUUAAGUGAAGUAAGACAAGGAAGUGGACUUGAGAAUUGUCAUGGUCCGUAGAAAGAAGGCUAAGUAGUUGUGGUUCAAAAGUUAAGGAGGUUAGUUUGAAAAAGAGGAAAAUUUUGGGUAAGUCCAUGUCUAGGCGUUUUAGACUUGGUGGGUUGCCAAAAGAGAAGGAAAUAACCUCUAAAGAAGUUAUCUUGGCGUUUUGAUUGUGGACUAGGUGCGACAGAUGUCAAAAAAGGUUAUUUGGACAACUUGUGGUAAGCUAGGCGGCAAUCAUGUGUGUGUAGUGUUUGUCCAUGAAGGUUAAAAUAACCUCCAUGUGUGCUGGGUGAGAUGGCAUUGGCUAAGCAAAAAGAGUGUCUUUAGAGGUUAGUUGGGCGUUAAGCCUUGACGAAGAGGCUUGCAUAGAGGUUAGGUUGACGAUGAAAGGCUAGGCAAGGAAAGCAUGACCAUGCCAAGUGGGGUUAGCAAGGUGUUUUGGGUUGAGUAUGACACUUUGGCAUUUCGGUUAGGCGAGAUGAGGAAGAGGUGGAGUCGGUUAAGUUGAUUCCAUGUGUCAUGUGAAUGCAUAAGUUAAAUUUUGGCUACUAGAAGGUGUCAAUAAAUGUUCAUGCACGGCUAGGUCACUUCAAAAUUCAUUUUCUACCAAAGCACUCAAAAUUUAAAAAAUUGAGUCUAUUUUCUAAGUAGGGGCUGCCAGACGAAUUUGAGAGAGGGAAGUGAUGGGACAAAUAUUGACCUGUUCAAAUAUAGUCUAUUCUCAAUCCUUAUCAUGUAUAUUUUCACUAUUUUUAUAUUUUAUACAGAAUAUGAAAGUAGACUUCAAUACGAAUCUAAUGACACAAAAAUCACCUAAAUUGGAGUUCAAACAAAGGAGAACGGGCAAAUUAAACAUACGGGGCAUUUCCGUAAAUAUUGAAGAGAUUGACACGUGUCAACCCCUCAGCCGCUCACGCCUAGCCUCAAGAUCACGGAAUCGAAUCUCGCUUCACUCAUAAUAUUCACUACAUAUUUCCUUCAAUCCAUGCCUUCAACAAUCCGACGAUUCUCUUUGGCCACGUGGCGUGAUCUCAGCGCGCGCGUCCCUCAGCCAUGCGGGUUCGAAAAAUUAAUAUCAAAACUUCCGAAAUUACUCCAAUUUUCAUAUUUUCUUCUUCUUGGAUAUGGGCUUAGAAAUACACUUUGGCCCAUUUCCUCUAAUUCUCCCUAUAAAUACCCCGAAUAAUUCCUAAUUUCAUAUUCAAUUUCAAUACAAUUCACUAUUCCCUCCAAAAAAUACUCUUAAUUUCUCCCAAAUUCCAAUGUCUCUACCCUAACUCUAUAAUUUUUUUAUCUUCAACCAUUUUUUCGGAAAUAUCGAAGAUGGAAGGCUUGGGCUUAGACAUUUUCAAUCCUUAGAGAAUUUGAUUAAUUAGAUUUUUUUUUUAUAAUUAGGGUUUGAUUAGUCUUUGAUUUCCAUGUAAUUUUUGUUAGAAUCAUCGAUGUUUAAUUCCAUUUUAUUGAAUUUUGUAAUCUUGAUUCUUGAUUUUAUGAUUUUUUUGGUUCAAUAUUGUAAGCAAUUUACCCCUAGUAUUUCAAUUAGUGCAAGAUUAGUUGAUUUGCUUGCUUAUAUACAAAAUUUACAUAAUUUUUCAUUUUAUCUCUCCCAAUUUUAGAAUUGUGUAAUGCCUCUUUUGGAUUUCAAUUGUUUUUGGAUAAUUCUUGGAAUUAAAUUGCAUUUUUUUGUGCACAAAUUAAUUUCUCUUUGAUUCCUUGAAUAUAAAGUUGUUGUUGAUCCAUCUUGUGUUUUCUUUUAAAGAAAAGAAUAAUGCGUUUAGUUAGAAUUGCAAUGAUCAAACUAAACCCUUUGAAAUUCUUUAGUUGGUUCUGAAUUUUGAUUCAAGAAUUCCUUUCAAUAUCAAGCAAUUUGAUCUUGGAAAGAAAUCUUGAAUCAAAUUCUCUUUUAAAGCUAUGCAUAAUUCAAUUUUCUUAGCUUCUUUGAUUCAAUGAUAAGAUUUGAUGUAAGUGUAAGCCUAUGUCUCACUUACCACCUUGGUAUUCAAUAUCUAUUAUCUCCCUCUUUUCUGAGUUGUUUUCCAUACUAAACUCCCCUUCUCAUUCCCUGCUACAAUUUUCCCCCAAUUUGUUUUCAAUACUUUUAUCUUCCUUUCGUUACUAAUCUUCAUAUUUCCAAGCAUUUCAUUCAAGGAAAAAUUGAUCACUCCUUUGGGUUCGACACUCUUGCUUGCUUCUAUCUACGGUAAAAUCAAGGGUAAACUAUAAAUAAAUUUUCAUCAAGGCGUUUAACUAAGUACCCUUAGUUGAUAACGACCUUACAUACUCUUUGCAUAAUGUUUUUUCUUCUUGAUGUCAAUUCUCGCCUUGUCAAUAAAUGUUCAUGCACGGCUUAAUAUAAAUAGGUCACUUCAGAAUUCAUUUUCUACCAAAGAAGUUUAAAAAUUGAGUCUAUUUUCUAAGUAGGGGCUGCCAGAAGAAUUUGAGAGAGGGAAGAUUGAGUUUAUGUUCAUAGAAUAGAAAGGUCAUUGUCGAAAGGAUUCUAAGCAAUAUUCACUUCAAGGAGGCUACAUAACUCAUUACAAGAAGUUUUGGGCUGAACUUUUGAGAUGAGAAUGUUAACACAAUUUGCAACAAUUGUGUCGAAGAAGGUAUUUUCAUUUGAGUUCUAGAUUGUAAGCUAUUAAACUCUAAAGUAUAAGUAAGGUUCUGGUAGAAAAUGAGUUUAUGGACGAUGGAGGUUGUUGGCCGAGUGUCAGGGGUUGCUAGGCGAGAUGGGUAUGGAUAUUAGGUUAAAAAAGUUUUGAGAUUUUUAUGAUUAAAUGGAAUUAAGUGAAAUUAUUUUCUGUUAUUUCAAGUCAGGAAAAGAUCGGGUAGAUUUACAGAUCGAGGGUCUAAACUACUGUCCGUGAGUGACAAAAUGAGUUUAAAGUUUAUUUUCGAACAUGAUUUAUUAUAAAAUGUACAUUUUAAUCAUACUUUGAUAUAAGAUUUAUGAAUACUUUGAUAUAUGAAUACUUGAGUUUACUGAUUAAGCAAAACUUUUCAAAGCAUGAGUUUUGAAAUAUUUAACAAGCAUGUAUUUCUUGAUGAAUUUACUCAUGAGAUUUACAAAGCAAGUUUGUUUAUGAUAAGUAUUUAAGUUAAAGAAUGAUUUUUAGAAUGUUUUAGACUAUACCGACCGAUAUAGAUAACAACCUUUUGGGAGAUAUUACCUGUGCACAGAGGUGAUGGAAACAGUAGACAUGCACAGCGGAAUUACGAUCAAAUUUUUACUCUAAUUGCAACUAAACAAGUUUAGUGAUUAAUAUGCAUAAAAAACCCUAAAAUAACGUAGAUAGGGUUAAAAGAAAAACUUACCUUUGAAGUUUUUCUUCUCUUGUAUUGUCUUCACGAAUUUGAAGUCAGCAUAACCACUAGAGUUUACUCGCUAUUCUCCGGACUUGAAACCGAGUUGUGAGACUAAAAAAUGGUGGAGAAAAUAGAGAGAUGAUAUCCUUUUAAGGAACCUAACAUUUUGGUUUUUUUUUUUUUAUGUUAAAAAACUCGAAUGGAAAGAGUUCUUGGAUUUAUUUUGUAAUUCUCAAUUACAAAAUUAAUUUUCAAUCUUCAAAUUCAAGAGUCAUUUCACCUUUGCAUAAAGUUUGUUUACAAGCAAACUACAUGCAAAAGGAACUAUCUCACUACUUGAUAUUCUUAGUGGGGUAGGUGUCUUGCAUGCAAUAAGCCACUUGCAUAUCACAAGCAAGUGAUAAGCUAGCCAAAUCUCAACAAAUGUUAUUAUUUAAAUUAGUCUAAGGGUAAUAUGGUAAUUCAACAUUUAAAUCAAAUUCAAAGUUUGACUUUUUCAAAUUUAAAGUCAACAUUUUGACUUUUUGUAGUCUAAAGUCAACAUUUUGACUUUUAACCAUUUGUCCGUCUUGACUAAUUUCAACCUCCCAAGCAUGAAUCCGUAUUUAUUUCUCCAAAAUUCAAAUCACAUUUGAAUAUAAAGUCGAAGUUUAAUUUUCAAAGUCAAAAGUCAACAUUCUGACUGUUUACAUCUUUGACCUUUUUCAUCAAUUCCGAGUUUCCAAAUAUGAAUCCAUAUUUAUAUAAGUAACAUUUAAACAUGAAGCUCUAUCUUAAGUAUAACCGAUGACUAUAUCAGAUAUAUUUGUCAGUUUCUUUCUCUUUACCUAAUUCGAACAAUUCGAAUUAUUCCAUCAUAAUGUUCUAAGUUGAUUCCUUGUGAGCUAGUCGGGGAACCUAAUGGACCUAUAGAUCAUGAACUCCAACGAUAUGAGAUUAACUGGCUAAACUCUUUAGACGAGUUAAUCAACAUUCGUUAACUACGGGUCAUUCCACUAAAGUCUCGUCAUUGCACACCCCUCACUAUAGAUAUAUUUGUGUCCAUGUGAUAUGACCAUGAUAAGUACGUUAAUCCUUCAUAGGUUGUUCAUAAUCUCGACUGGGUCAAAGUACCGUUUUACCCUCGAGAUUAUAUCUUUUCUCCUUAAGUCCCACUGAUCCACUAUUGAACAAUUGAUUUUAGGUCCAACCUAUAAAUCGAAUCCCUCUCGAGCCAAUGAGAGGGUGGGGCCCCUUAUUCAAGACUUGGAAUCAAUUCUUAAGGGAACAACCUAUCUACUAACCCUAAAACGAGUAGAAGUGAAUUUCAUCUUGCACCCUAUGUCCCUAGCUGUCCAGUCGGUCUUACCCCUAAAAUGGGAGGCUUAUUGCACCAGCGCCAUUGAGUUGUCAUCAUCUAUGCAGAUCUAAGGAUAAUUCCAUGUGAACAGAAGUUCAUAGAUAGCUCAUGAUUAAGAUUAAGUUUCAUUGGAUAUCUAUAAACGAAAUAGUUAGUUUUACAAAGCUAACGGUGUUCUAACUUAAAAGUGACUAUUUCAUGGUUAUAGUCUUAUGUAAACUUUUUACAUAGGAUGCCCCCACUUUCAUGUCUCUACAUGAACGAUUCGAAAUCACAUCAUUUGUACUAACUACAAAGCAGACCACAUCCAUAGUGUCCCUAGAAUAAGGUGUCCAACCGUAUUCGUAUACUAUAGACUAUUUAGGCUAUAUACUCGAACUUGAUCCACGUUUAUGUCUCUAUAUAAAGUUCAAGUUUACUAUAUAUAAUAGCCUCGGGUCUUUAGUUUAUUGGCUUUAAGAUUAGAGUAUCAAUAACAAUUUUAUUGAAUAGAAUAUGAUUCGAAACUACGAGUUUUAUGACAUAAAUUCCAACAAAAGGUUCCUUUGAUGAAGGUAUUCAGUAGAUACCUAGAUUCCUAUCACUUAGACAGAUUAAUGAAGAUCUGUUGGUUACCUACAUUAUUGUAGUUAUAACGAGUUGGGGCAAUACUGAUUAAUUGAUUGUUUAGACUUAAUACUUUCGUGUGUGUGUAACCCAUAUGCAAUACGUCACUAAGUCAGGUAAUCGUGUGUAAUGCGCUCACUGUAACUCUCUAUAUAGCAUGCUUUGAUUAUAGGCGAUGAGUCAUGGUCAUGACCAUAGCAUGUGAAAUGGUCAGUAUGUACCUUUUCAUCAAGUAAUACUUAAGUUCUCGUUGAAUACAAGUUUUCCUAUUGCUUGUUCAAGUGCAAGCGAAACAAUAGGUUUACCUACAUGAUCCAGGAUCGAACACUGAGAAUUUAUUUUAGUCAUUACUUCUAGGGAAUUACUCAUUAAUUGGGCAGUAAAAGAAUUAUCUACUAACGUAUAAAAGAAUCAGAAGUAGAAUUAAAACUACUUAUAUACGCCUAAAGAAUCUGUAAAGGGGGCUAGCUAGAUGCGAAAUGGAAUUGUAUGCAAACUAACUUGUAUGUGAGAAAGAGUGAAGAAAGGUCAAUGCACUAUUAGGCGGUUAAGCAAUGCAAGAGCUUUGAUGCGAUUUAACUUACUCAACCAACUUAUGAUUAAGGCGUACUCCUAUCAAAGUAUUAAACGUCAUACAUAGUCUCCUUUCAGGAUCUACAUGACUAAGUCUGAGUAGGUGAAAUAUAUCUAGGAGCAUUCACUUAUAACACUUAUAAAACUCUGUGAUUAAGAACAACAACCUCUCAAACGCUUAAUGUCCACACUUGUUUGCCUUUCGGUAUACAAAUGUUGGAAGUUAUCUCGCUCAGGUGGAUUUAUUGCCAAAUUCGUCCUUGUGCGCAUUAUCCUUAUCCUUGCUACUUGCCCUCUUGGAUAGUAGGCGAUUGACACUAGCCAAGCGAUGAAUAUAUAUAGCUUAACUAAUGCAAUAAGCAUUAUAAGCUAAACUUCUUAUCAAGAGCUUAUCACAAACCUAAUAUUGCUAAUAACACAUUGACAAGUGAGAAGUUAAGAAGUGAUGGAUUGAAAAGGGUCUGUUGCAUUGCACAUCAUCUCCAACUACCACCCUUGUCUUCUAGUGACCCUUCCUCGCAUGAUAACUUUGUUCCUCAUUUAGGGAUGAUAAUCGCUAGAUGAGUUUUUGGUUAUAGUCCUUGGGCGAAAUAUUUCCUGUGAUUCACUAGUUUCUUUCUUUGUUCAUUAUCCAACAUUUAGACACUAAAAUCGAGUGAAACAAACAUAACACUUAUGCAAAAUAUAUUUCCAAGUACUUAUUCGUUUGCAACACAAGUUACACAUUCUGAUAAUCUUCUUGUGCGUUUUGACUUCAUUAUUCUAAUAAAAUGAGCUAUAAUAACGGAUGUUUAUAUACGCUGUCACGCCCCCAAAUUUAGAAUAAUGCUUGUCCUCGAUCAUUGCUCCCUAUUAUGCUUGUCCUCGAGUAUUGCUCCCUAUUAUGCUUGUCCUCAAGCACAAUUCCUCCUUAAAGACUCGCCUUCCUCUUUUGCAUUUCAACACUUCUCAAAACGCAAGCAAGUUUUCUUCGUUAUUCAUGAUUUACUCUCAUCAUGUACUUCUUGCUACGAAAAUAUUUCUAAGUUCAGAAUGUGACAAGAUUAGUACUCAAAAUAUCCUUGUUCAUUUCCCACAAUAAAUCUUAUUUUCAAUUUCAGAAGUGAUCAAAAUUUUCAAAAAGUAUCAAACUUUAACAUUAUAAAUUAUGCUUGGAAACAUAAGUUUUCAUAGAAAUCUCUUUGAAAUAUUAUCACUUGAAUUCUUCUUUCAAAUUAGUAAAGAGAAAUCAUAAUAAAGUUUUUAACAUAAAUUCAUUUGAGAGAAAAGCACUCACAAAACGUUACAAAAGAAGUCCUUCUUCUUCUUCUCGCAAGCCUCUUCUCGUGUAGCUAAAUGAGCAACACUUCAACAUUUCAACAAAACUUCCAUCAUCCCCUCCUUAGUUACCCAAAUCCUCUUAUUAAUUGAGUCCUUAAACUAACUUAGUCAUGCAUAAACUCUUCUCAAUUCGCCAGCUCCUGCUUAAAACUUUACAUAUGUAAAUUUAAUAUUCAACCUAGUCAUGUUUAAGUCCUUAAUCUUACACGUUAACCUUUUUCAAAUCAGAUUUGACAUUUUCUUCGCCAGACCUUGCUUCUCGCCUAACCCAAACUGCGAAUAACUUCAACCACUUAACAUUUCUCGCAAAUAACCUUAUCGUGUGGUUAUAUUUUUACUAUAAGAAACCUUGCACAUGAACUAGCCAACAUUUACUCGCAUAGAACUCUUAUUGUGAACUUAAGCUCCAAGUCUUCCUCGCAUACUUCUUCUCCAUGAAACACUUGGUUCUUCUCUCGAAGACCACCCAAAACGUCUAGUCUAACAUUGUCAAAAUUUUUACUUAACUUAUGCGCAGACUUUUUCUCUUCUUAUCGCACAACUUCUUUCGUGAACUACCCAUUAAUGGCAAAAACGUAUAUUUAACCAUAAAAGAUUUUAUCGCUUAAUCCUUUUCACAGAUUUAUUCAAACGCCAACUUCUUAAUACUUUAACUGAAUUUUACUUCUUUACACGAAUGAGAAAUGAGUCUCACAAGAUCACUACUUAAAAAGUGAGAAAACAUUUGAAUGAAUGAGUUGAAAAAACUAGUGAGUGACGGUUCUAUAAAACAUGCUUUUCUAAAUAGUUAUGCACAAAUCUUUAGCUUUCAGAAGCAUUCAAAUAAAUGAAUAACAUUUUAUAAACAUGUAUCUUGAAACUUUCAGACAUUUGAAAUACAUAUUAUAAACUUUACUUGAUCAUUAAUCUAUAGUAUGUCCCUAACAUUAAACAUGAGUGUUGGUACACCUUACCAUUAAUGAAUGAAUUCUCUUAACGUAGGCACAAUUCUAACUGCAACCUUCUCUACACAGGCAUAAGGAAUUAUCCUUCAUUGAUGUACAAGGAACAUAGGCUCGUCAACCUUUACAUUAGUAACGAAAAACAACUAUGUGCACAUAAACUGAUGAUAAAGAGUAACAUAGAACAUAUGGGUAUAGAUUCUAAAAACGUAUUUGAAAUCUUGAACACAUGCUUGCUUUAAAUCUCCGUUAGAUUUCAUAUUUAUAAUACACACUUGGAAAUAGUUUACAAAUCAUGCUUUGUAAAUCAUUUACUAAAUUAGUAGCGAAAAUAUCAUUUAGCAUAUCAAAGCAUGUAAGAAAACUAUUGCCUUUACAUUCAUGUUCCUAAAUAGAUAUAAAUAUAUAUAUUUCAUUCAAAAACUUAAACUUGUGGCUCAACCCCUUAGCCAUGAAAUCUUUUUAAUUCUUCUUGUCCUGAAACAAUAAUAUUUAAGCCUUAAUUAACCUUUUUACCUUAUAAAAUAUUCAAACUUUACUAAAAUCGGCAAAAUUAAACAUAAAAGAAAGCUAAAAAAUGGAAUUUAGCAUGCCUGGCACAGGGCAUAACGGUCAUGGAUGGCAGGGUGGCUAGCGUGCGCAUAACGGUUUGUGUAGUCUGGUCGUAUGCUAGAAUAACACAUGGCUUACGUGUUAUGUACAUCCUCGAAGAAAGGCUUGCUACAUGGCCUUGGCGUGCGCUGACCCUAUUACUCGCAUGCUUCAAAGCCCGUGCUAACAUCUUUCACCUAACUUCCUCAUCUCGCCUUCCGUGUCACUCGGUCAACCUUCAACUUGGCCUAUAAUUGUUUUUUCAUCAAGAAUGUAACCCAACUUUUGAGGUCUAUAACUUAAAAUUCGUAACUCAAACGAGAAACCUUCCUCCUAUAAAGUUGUUUAGAAUUUUCUUAAACAUCUUACCUCCAAAUUGCAGCUACAUAUUCCAAGUAAUGUGUUUUGUAGCCAUCAAGAAUGUAACAUUGCUCAAUCUUGUGCAAACAAUGACCUUUGGUAAUUUAGGUCAGAAGUUGGACUUUCUCCUAAACUCUUUUUAGUUCGAAAAUCCUACCUUAAUAAAUAGACUCACUCACAAUUCUUUCGGGACUAAUAUGAGUAAAUUUUCACAAGUAGAAUGGAAGUUCUGAUCGUCCAAAGUUACCUAUUUAAUAUGAACCUUGCAUGCCUAACUUUUAACACCUCUUACUUGAAUGGUUUGCUUCCCACACCUCCCGCUUGCCGAAACAUAGGUGUUUGCAUGCUAUGACACUUGGAUUCCACUUCCACCUCUUGCCCAAAAUGCAUAAAGCUUCCUUUUCUCGUAUGGCUACUCACAUGCACACACUCAUGCCUUGUUGCACACCUUUUCGUGUGGCUGUUGCUCGCGUGCCUUGCCUUGGUUGCAUGAUGAAGCUCACCUAGCACACCUUGUAUGGCUACUCACAUGCACACACUGAUGCAUGGCAGGAUCGAUUGUUGAUAGGAAGUCUACCUUCGGUUAUUGUAACUUUGUUUAAGGCAAUCUUGUAACUUGGAGAAGCAAGAAGCGAAGUGUUGUGGCAAGAAGUAGCGAUGAGGCCGGAUCUCGAGACAUGGGUUUUGGAAUAUGUGAGGAAAUUUGGCUCCAGAAAGUCCUGUCUGAUCUUCAUCAAGAAUGUGAGACUCCUUUGAAGCUCUUCUGUAAUAAUAAAGUCGUUGUUUGUAUUGCUAACAACCCAAUUCAGCAUGAUAGAACUAAGCAUGUUGAGAUCGUUUGACAUUUCAUCAAAGAAAAACAUGACAGUGGGAGCAUAUGCAUUCCAUACAUCCCUUUGAGCCAACAAGUUGCUGAUGUUCUCACCAAGGGGACUUCUCAGACCAAACUUUAAUUUUUAUGUUAGCAAGUUGGACCUCAUUGAUAUUUCCGUCCCAACUUGAGAGGAAUGUUAGUUUAUGGAAAAUUUAGUUAUAGAAAGUUGACCAAAAAUAUAUUCUCUUUCUUUUACGGUUGUGUAACCUAUUUAAUGUCCUUCAUUGUACCAUUGUAAUUCAUUAGAAAAUAAUAAGAACAAUAUAUCGUAGUUUUUAUCGCGAUACUCAGGUUUCCACGUAAGUUGGUUUGUGUCUUUAUCUCUACUUUCAGUAAUAUUUUGAAUAAAAAGUUGAGGAUAUUAUCUGGUCUUAUAUUUUCAGCAUUUUGUCAUUUUCUUACUACAAGGAUUCAUCAGAAUAUGAUGCCGAAGAUCAAUAUGAUGAUGAGUUCUGUUGGAAUAAAUGGUUAUGAUUCUUCAUGAAUUGAUGUAUCAUGAGUUGAUGUAUCAUUUCAUGAAAAGUUGGAAUAAAUGUUUAUGAUUCUUCAUGAAUGGAUGCAUCAUGAGUGGAUGCAUCAUUUCAUGAAAAGUGUCAUUAACUAAAGGACAUGACUUUUUGAAUGGCCACAAAAAGUCUAUAAAUAAGUCAUUUUGGUUGAGAGAAAAGUACAUAGAAAAAGUCAUUUGUCUUCAAUAAACAAAUUUCUCUUCAUAUCCACAAUCUUGAUGUUCGGUAGAUUCACAAGGUUUCGUUCGUAGAUCUUCUAUACGGGGUGCUACACUUAGAAGAAAGUUGAUAUGUUCUAUCCUCGGAGGCAAUUACUCUAAAUUCUCAAGCACUAGGGUGAGUAAAUUUGUCUUAAGGAGACAAUGUGAAUUCGUUGAGCUCAGAUCUAUAUUUGUGUAUGAUUUUUUUGUUCACUGUGAUAAUAAUAUACCUAGCAAUUGAUAAUCUGUAUAACAAGUUCAUCGACGAUAAUGAUGACUAUUCUGGCAUGUACUCAACUUCACCUAUUCCUAAAAGUGGAGGUAAUUUGAAAAUUCUGCGAACUUACUAUUAUACCAAUCACUUGGCAUUUUUUCCAUGUUGUUUCAUUUGUUUCUUGAUAUUUUUCAAGAUAUUAUAGGCUAGCUGAAGCUAUACUUCUAUUCAAUACCAUGGGGCCAUAAGAGAAUUAUAAAAAAUUGAGCCUAAUCUUUGUUACUAUUCCUAAACCUAUUUAUCUUGUGAACUUUAAAGGAUUAGUACUGGAUAGUGAAUACCAUUUAAUCCACGACAAUUCUGCUCAUACAAUUUGGGGAAGCUUGUGUAUUUGUUUUGAUAGUAUGGGGCCAUGUGCCAUGCUGAAGUUAGGAUUUCUUGAUGUUCCAUAGUUCUAGCUGUCAUGGGAACUUUGGAUUGAAAGGGAAUAGGCGAACCAUUCGCAGUUUGAUCAUUUUUGCUGACAUGGUGUCUCUUUCUGUGUUCUGAAGUUCUCUUCUAACUUUUUUUUUUUUACUUUCUGACUUCUGCUCUAUCAAGUUUUGGUAAGUAUGUUUACAACUACGCAUAAAAUUGAAAAUUUACUUUGUAGGAAGAGAUUUAUUUGAGCAUAUAUGUUGGAUCAUUGGAUGCAAAGUGUAUAUGAUUUAUGAAGAAUUAGAUUUCAAAUCUUAAAUGUCAUCAAACGUGUGGACAUAUAUUAUUUGUACAACUUUCUUGUCAUUGUUGCUAUAUCAGUUGGUUGCGGCCAUGCUUAACUGACUUUAAUUUAUUCGCAUAUCCUAAGUUUAUUUUUUAAAUUUUUUGGCGUUUUGACCUUGAUUGAUUUUAACUAUAAUUUCAAGUGUUUGAUUCCCUUCCCAUGAUUUCUAGUUUUAAUUGAGGAGUGAAAAGAAACAAGUGAAGGAUGAGAGUGCAGCGGUUAAUCCAAUUUCUGAUGGAGAUGAGAAAGAUAAUUACACAAGAGGGAAUUCACUCAUUCCCUACUUUAGGGUAAGUAGAUGAGUGUUCCCUUAAAUGGUGUCACCAGUUCUUGAACAAAGGACCCUACCCUCUCCAUGGCACGACAGAGGUUUCUGUUUAUUGGUAGGACCAUAAAAAAGUUGUUCAUUGGAGGAGCAUUGGUAUUUAAGGAUUAGAGAUAACCCAGGGGUAAAACGGUAAAUGGACCCAACUGGUGUUACAAACACUCGUGAAGGACUAACUUACUGUUAUUGGUCUAUAUUUGUGGACACAGAAAUAUAUCUACAGUGAGAAGAGUUCAACUGUGAGUCUUUAGUGGAGUGUACACACAGUUAACGAAUAUUGAUUAAUGUCGUUAAUGAGUUUAGCAAAUUAAUCUCAGAUCGUUGUAACUUCUGAUCUGUAGGUCCAUUAGGUCCACUUCCUAGCUCGUACAUGGUAAUGAGAUUUAUUUAUAUUGGUUGUAAUUUGAAAUGUUCAAAUAUACUUAGGGAAUUAGUUUAAUGUAUAGUGAUACUUAUAAUAUAAAAUUUGUAAAACUUUAUUAUAAAUUUAAUUUUGGAUAUGAUUCAAAAUUAAUUUAUGGGAGAUAAAAUAUUUGAAUGAGUUCAAAUAUUAAUGUGAAUUGGAUUCAUAUUAAAAUUAUUGUUACGAGAGAAACUUAUAUUUGAAUAUGAUUCAAAUUUAAUUAAAGUUAAAUAUCUUAUAUUUAACUUAGCUAUUAAUUAAUUGGAGAAUUAAUUAAUAAUUUAGUUUUAUUUAAUUAAAUUUGAUUUAAUUAAAUUUAUAAAAUGAUAUUGCAAAGAUAUUAUAUUUAAUUAUAUUAAUAACAUAUUGGAGAGAUAUUUAUUCAAAUAAGAUUUGAAUGAAAUAUUAAUUAUUAACUAAUUGAUUAAUUGUUAACUAAUUAAUAGAUUUGAUAUUAAGAAUCUCAUAAUUCUCUCCUACUCCUUUUCCUAUUCCAAGAAAGAAAGAGAGCUAUAAAUAUCUAAAAGAAAACAGUGUUCUUAAAGCAAAAUUUAUUAAGAAAAAAGCAAAGGUUUUUUCUCUCUACAAAAUGAGUUUCUCUCAAAUAUCUCUAAGUCUUUUUCCAUCCCAAUUGGUUUCCACAAACCAAUCUCAUCCCAGAGGAUAGGAAGAUCUCCGACGGAUGGUGUCCUAAUUUGGAGAUUGAUUUGUAAAUUAAGAGAUGUCAUCGAAAGUAAGUUCUCGCAUCUUAUCUUUAAAAGCAUACUUAGAAUCUAUUUAGAAUUUUGAUUCUAAAAUUUUGCCAAUGUAUCGGUAUUUUAAGAUUCUCAAAUUAAUUUGAGAAACCGUUCUUUAAAUUAUUCCGCUGCCAUAAGGCUUUUAUUACUCUUUGUUCAUUCAUUUCCUUUAAUUAACAAAUUAAUAAGAUCAAAAUUAUGAAUGUGUUCACUUGUUUUUCAUUUUAUCUUUUUAGUUUCCAAAAUGUUUGUUCUAUGAUGUAUGUACAAAAUAAUAAAUAAUCACAAAAUGAAUGCUUAAAUUUAAUUAGAAUAAACUCACAAUACAUACUUUUAUUGAAAAACAUACUAAAGUGUUUAAACUGGCCUUAUUGCUACUAUGCAAAAGGUCAUAUUAUUUAUUUUUUUAUGUUUUGUUACAUUAUAUAUUCAAUAUUUACCUUCAUAGCUAAAAUAUAACACAUUUAAACUUAAAAGUUUUUUGCAAUAGAGCAAAAAGUCUUAUUAUUUAGGGUUUUAUUCUAUUACUUUAUAUUCAUUCUUGAACAUGUCAUUUCAAACUCAUUUUUAUGCUUGAAUGACAAGGGCUCUUAUGUGCAAGCCUCUUUUCCAAACCGCUGCAUGGUUGAAGAAGCGAAAUCGGAUUGUUCCACUAGUCACACAAUCAGGUAGUGUGAAUCCACCUAGUGGCAUAUUGAACCACACAUUUGGUUGUCUGCCUGCCAAUCCUAUUUGAGACUCUUGCCUACUCCCAUCUGGCAACUCGAUUUCAAGGUUUACUGGAAAAUUCCAUCCAGAGGCGUUGCUUGUUAACAUUACUUCAAUGUUUGCAUUGUACCGAAUACCUUGUCUGAAAUCAGAUGCAUCCAUCAUUCCAACGACAAUCUAGCCAAGAUACUUGAAUAAGUCGGGCUUCUUCAGUUGGGUAGCUGCAAGGUUUUAAAUACCAUGGUGAGAGAGAACAGUAAUAAAUAACAUAUGAUUGGAACAUAAUAUAUAUUCAUAAAAGUAGAAUCUAAUAACUAGCUUAUAUUUUUAUGAACGAAAACAAAAGAAAUAGAUGAAAAUGCAUGAGAUAUGAAUAAAUGAACAAAUAAAAUUUGAGUUAAAGAUUGUACCCGCAUAAAUUCACGUUGGCCCAACUCCAGUAUCGAGUGUCAUUACCCCAUGUUAUUGUGGCAGCUCUUGGAAAUGCCAAAAAAUGUGUGCUUUGGCCUGCCAUUAAAAUGGUAUUUGAGAGGUAUAGAAAUAAGGAUGAGAAUGAGAAAAUGUUAUAUAAAGGUCCUUGAUUGGUUACAAGUAUGGAGGAUAUCUUUGUUCUUUUAUAUCCAUCUAUUAGGGCAUUUUAGACCGUUCCAAAUGCAACCACUUUUUCGUAUCCCUUAUCCUUUCUCUUUUUUGUUUAUUCCAUUUUUCAACAUUUUCUUUUUUAUAUAUUCUUUUUCAUUUAAUUACUUUAAAUUGUUUUUUUUUGUAAUAUAAAUUAGUUCACUUUUGUAUUUUCUUCCUCAUAAUUGAUUAUUCAACUCAAAUGGCUCUUCCCUUCCCUAUAAUUAGUUAAAUUACACAUAUAUGGAUAUGAUAUUAUUUGUUAAAAUACCCUUUUUAUACAACUAUUAAUUCUUAAGUAAUGUAAUUAUGUAAAAUUUAUGCAUUUAGAUGUACAAUAUAGCAUCGUUUAAUUUCUAUAUGGCUCCAAUAAAUAUUAUUUUCGAAAAGUCAAUAACUCGUUCUUUCCAUGGGUCUCACUCCCUCUCUCUUUAUAUUAUUUAAUUUUCAAAAUCAAACAAUGAAAGCAUUAAACAUUCAUGAAAAUGUAUUCUCCUUUAAUUUAUUGAGAAUAUAUUUGGAGUAUAGAUUAGAGAUAAAACGUGUGGAAAUUAGAAAGAAGUUACUAUUGAGUAUGAAUCAUCCAUAUUCGUAGAUUAUCAAAGACUUUAUCGAUUUGAAGUUUAUAUUCUUUUUGAAACUCGUGUCCUGGAGAUAAGGUUGCUGAGAUGAAAUUUGAAUUUUUUUAUUAUCAAUACAAAGGUCUUUCUAAUAUAUGUUGGUAAUGUUUAAUCAUGAAUUUUAAUUGUUUUUUACAGCAAUUUUUUUUUAAUAUAAGUAAAUAUGUGAAACAAGUUUUUGAUGACAUGUUUUGACCAUGAAGAAAAUUAGUUUUCUUGAGGUUCGACUUUCUUGAUGUAUGCCUACUUGAUGGAUAAAAACCAUCAAGGUAGACAUAUUUUUAAGUGCUUUGUACAUCAAAAAAUGUCAAAUUUGUAGUAGUGAUCACAUAAACUCCAAUUACAAUAAUUAUUGUCUUCUAGUGAACCUUCCUCGUGUGUUGAUGUGGAUCUCACCUACAAAUUGUACAUGCUAGACAAGGUUUUCUCGAGUAUCCUUUAUGUGAGUUCCUCUGUAAUUCACUAGCUUCUUCUUUUGUUCCUAAUUGUAAGACCCAACUUUUUUACUAAGCUGAAGUCAUUACUAUUUAAAUAAAUAUAGACUUUUUAGUUUUAAAUAAAAGAAAAUACUAAAUUUAAAGAACACGUUCCAAAUAUUAUUUAAAAAAUAAAUAAAUGAAAUAUGAGAUAAAAGACUAGUUAAAGCUCUAUUUAAUGUAAAAAGAAAUAUCUAAAAGUAAACAUGAGUUCUGAAAUAAUUUUCUGAAAAUUAAAUACUGAAGACAUAAAUGCAGUAGAAAACGUAAAUUGUCCCCUAUGGCGAAUCACAGUCACUUCUUGUCAUUCGCCUGUGCCUUUACCUCUUCUAACUUUGUUUGAAAAAUUAAACAUAGAAAAGAGUAAGUAUAAAUUUAUACUCAGUAAGAGACCCACAAUUAGUUCCGCUACGUGUCUGUUAACUUUUCCUGUAAGAAAGUAUCACAUACUAUUGUGAUCCCAAACACACGCUAUCGGGUGGUCCCUAGGGACAUAUUUGAGCUCUUAGUGAACACGAAGGAAUCACCCUAAUGGAGAGUCAGGCGAUUAAUUAUUAUGCUUUAGAACACAUGCUAUCCAGUGAUCCCGUAAGGACACAUUUGGGCUCUCAGUGAACCCAAAGGAAUCACCCUAAAGGAGAGUUGGAUUGUAAGUGAUCCCGUCGAAUAUAUUUGGAGUAUAGGUUAGAGAUAAAAUCUGUGGAAAUUAGAAAGAAGUUACUAUUGAGUAUGAACCAUCCAUAUCCAUAGACUAUCAAAGACUUUACUGAUUUGAAGUUUAUUUUCUUUUUGAAACUCAUGUCAUAAAGAUAAGGGUGCUCGAUAGCCUAAAUUUUUCAUAUAAAUGUAUUGUUUGUUUGUUUCGUUAAUAAAUCAUUAUCUUCUUCUAUUAAAUUACAUCAUUAUUGGACAACAUGGAGGGAUCCCAAUUCUAGAUAAUUUGUAAUAAUAGGAUUUAUUUUUUUAAAAAAAAAAACAAAAGAGCACAUAGGAACUAAUUGACAAUUAAUACAUUUUAACUGUCAAUUAGUUCCUUCGGGUUCACUGAGAGCUCAUAUGUGUCCUUACGGGACCAACCGAUAGCGUGUGUUUGGGAUUACAAUAAUAUGUGGUACUUUCUUACAGGAAAAGUUAACAGACACGUAGCGGAACUAAUUGUGGGUCUCUUACUGAGUAUAAAUUUAUACUUACUCUUUUCUAUGUUUAAUUUUUCAAACAAAGUUAGAAGAGGUAAAGGCACAGGCGAAUGACAAGAAGUGACUGUGAUUCGCCAUAGGGGACAAUUUACGUUUUCUACUGCAUUUAUGUCUUCAGUAUUUAAUUUUCAGAAAAUUAUUUCAGAACUCAUGUUUACUUUUAGAUAUUUCUUUUUACAUUAAAUAGAGCUUUAACUAGUCUUUUAUCUCAUAUUUCAUUUAUUUAUUUUUUAAAUAAUAUUUGGAACGUGUUCUUUAAAUUUAGUAUUUUCUUUUAUUUAAAACUAAAAAGUCUAUAUUUAUUUAAAUAGUAAUGACUUCAGCUUAGUAAAAAAGUUGGGUCUUACAAUUAGGAACAAAAGAAGAAGCUAGUGAAUUACAGAGGAACUCACAUAAAGGAUACUCGAGAAAACCUUGUCUAGCAUGUACAAUUUGUAGGUGAGAUCCACAUCAACACACGAGGAAGGUUCACUAGAAGACAAUAAUUAUUGUAAUUGGAGUUUAUGUGAUCACUACUACAAAUUUGACAUUUUUUGAUGUACAAAGCACUUAAAAAUAUGUCUACCUUGAUGGUUUUUAUCCAUCAAGUAGGCAGACAUCAAGAAAGUCGAACCUCAAGAAAACUAAUUUUCUUCAUGGUCAAAACAUGUCAUCAAAAACUUGUUUCACAUAUUUACUUAUAUUAAAAAAAAAUUGCUGUAAAAAACAAUUAAAAUUCAUGAUUAAACAUUACCAACAUAUAUUAGAAAGACCUUUGUAUUGAUAAUAAAAAAAUUCAAAUUUCAUCUCAGCAACCUUAUCUCCAGGACACGAGUUUCAAAAAGAAUAUAAACUUCAAAUCGAUAAAGUCUUUGAUAAUCUACGAAUAUGGAUGAUUCAUACUCAAUAGUAACUUCUUUCUAAUUUCCACACGUUUUAUCUCUAAUCUAUACUCCAAAUAUAUUCUCAAUAAAUUAAAGGAGAAUACAUUUUCAUGAAUGUUUAAUGCUUUCAUUGUUUGAUUUUGAAAAUUAAAUAAUAUAAAGAGAGAGGGAGUGAGACCCAUGGAAAGAACGAGUUAUUGACUUUUCGAAAAUAAUAUUUAUUGGAGCCAUAUAGAAAUUAAACGAUGCUAUAUUGUACAUCUAAAUGCAUAAAUUUUACAUAAUUACAUUACUUAAGAAUUAAUAGUUGUAUAAAAAGGGUAUUUUAACAAAUAAUAUCAUAUCCAUAUAUGUGUAAUUUAACUAAUUAUAGGGAAGGGAAGAGCCAUUUGAGUUGAAUAAUCAAUUAUGAGGAAGAAAAUACAAAAGUGAACUAAUUUAUAUUACAAAAAAAAACAAUUUAAAGUAAUUAAAUGAAAAAGAAUAUAUAAAAAAGAAAAUGUUGAAAAAUGGAAUAAACAAAAAAGAGAAAGGAUAAGGGAUACGAAAAAGUGGUUGCAUUUGGAACGGUCUAAAAUGCCCUAAUAGAUGGAUAUAAAAGAACAAAGAUAUCCUCCAUACUUGUAACCAAUCAAGGACCUUUAUAUAACAUUUUCUCAUUCUCAUCCUUAUUUCUAUACCUCUCAAAUACCAUUUUAAUGGCAGGCCAAAGCACACAUUUUUUGGCAUUUCCAAGAGCUGCCACAAUAACAUGGGGUAAUGACACUCGAUACUGGAGUUGGGCCAACGUGAAUUUAUGCGGGUACAAUCUUUAACUCAAAUUUUAUUUGUUCAUUUAUUCAUAUCUCAUGCAUUUUCAUCUAUUUCUUUUGUUUUCGUUCAUAAAAAUAUAAGCUAGUUAUUAGAUUCUACUUUUAUGAAUAUAUAUUAUGUUCCAAUCAUAUGUUAUUUAUUACUGUUCUCUCUCACCAUGGUAUUUAAAACCUUGCAGCUACCCAACUGAAGAAGCCCGACUUAUUCAAGUAUCUUGGCUAGAUUGUCGUUGGAUGAUGGAUGCAUCUGAUUUCAGACAAGGUAUUCGGUACAAUGCAAACAUUGAAGUAAUGUUAACAAGCAACGCCUCUGGAUGGAAUUUUCCAGUAAACCUUGAAAUCGAGUUGCCAGAUGGGAGUAGGCAAGAGU
rnacentral:lncRNA from 1 species